rnacentral:misc_RNA from 1 species
CCAAUAGCGUAUAUUAAAGUUGUUGCAGUUAAAAAGCUCGUAGUUGAAUUUCGGGAUCAGUAGGUCGGUCGUGCCACUGGUAUGAACUGGUCUCACUGGUUCCUCCCUCUUGACGAACUGCAAUGCUAUUAAUUUAGUGUUGUAGGAAAUCAGGACUGUUACUUUGAAAAAAUUAGAGUGUUUAAAGCAGGCUUUGGCUUGAAUACAUUAGAAUGGAAUAAUGAAAUAGGACGUUCGAUCCUAUUUUGUUGGCUUCUAGGAUUGACGUAAUGAUUAAUAGGGACAGUUGGGGGCAUUAGUAUUCAAUUGUCAGAGGUGAAAUUCUUGGAUUUAUUGAAGACUAACUACUGCGAAAGCAUUUGCCAAGGAUGUUUUCAUUAAUCAAGAACGAAAGUUAGGGGAUCGAAGACGAUCAGAUACCGUCGUAGUCUUAACCAUAAACUAUGCCGACUAGGGAUCGGAUGAUGUUAAUUUUUUAAUGACUCAUUCGGCGCCUUACG